CUACCGCCAUUCUUCUCCACUUAUCUUUUUCACAUAAGCUUUCGAUAACGAUGUUUCUUCAUGUCCUCUUCAUUUGUCACUCACCACCACACCACCUGAAGCUUGGUGCAACUGUGGUACUGUGAUGUCGUGUGCUGGAAAACGACCGUCACUUUCUCUUAUUCAUCACUCUUAUGAGAACAUUGUUGGUAGUCCUUUCCUAUUUAAUCGAAUUUCAUAUUCCCUAUUCUAAUUUUGGAGAAACCUGAUCUAUGAAAAAGAAACUAAUUUUCUCCUUAUUAGAUACAUUUUUUGUACAAAUUUAGCAGCUUUGAAGAUGCACACCAACUACUCGAUGAAAUGACUGAAAGAAUCUGUAAGCUUAUUUUUUUUUUCAUAUCACUGCAACUUUAAUUGUCACCUGUUUUCAAAGUUGUCGAUGUAAAACCUCCAUGGAUGAGGACCAUGAGUGAUCUCUGCACUAGCUAAGGGGUUAUUAGAACCAAAUGGAAUGUAAAACUUAAGAUUGGCAUUUUUUCCUUUUUCUUAACAUUUUAUUGGGGUUAUGUUCUAUGGUUUAGCCAUGGUCGCAUUUGGUAUAUUAUCCAUGUGGCAACAACUUCUAAUCAAUAAAGUUGUAGGAUAUGAUAUAAUUUUCAUGAAGAAUGUACUGAAUUCUCCAGGCUACUUGUAUAAUUACCAGGCACAAGCCUUCUACAAUCUUACAUAUGUACAACAACAAGAAAGGUCACAAAGGUUUGGAGACUUUUGAAUGAAAAGAGAAACCUCUUCAAGAGUACCUUCAAUGGGCUGAAAUUCUUGAAAAGGAGAUUGUCAAACAUGAUAGAGCCAUGUAUGUAGGGGUAGAAUCGGUAAUUUGACAGCAAGAGGAGGAUUUUUUUUAAAUAAAGCAAGACCUUCCCUGAGUCGCCUAUAGUAAGGAGUUUCUUUUCCAACAGGUAUAAUAUAUGCUGGGUGUGGCAAUUUUUUAGUUUGGAUGUAUAGACAACAAUUAAGACUCUUAAUAGAAUACCGAUAAAAAAUGAAAUCUAU